GAGAUUCCCCCAGUAGCGGCGAGCGAACGGGGAGCAGCCCGGAGUCUGAAUCAGCUUGUGUGUUAGUGGAAGCGUCUGGAAAGUCGCACGGUACAGGGUGACAGUCCCGUACACGAAAAUGCACAGGCUGUGAACUCGAAGAGUAGGGCGGGACACGUGGUAUCCUGUCUGAAUAUGGGGGGACCAUCCUCCAAGGCUAAAUACUCCUGACUGACCGAUAGUGAACCAGUACCGUGAGGGAAAGGCGA
rnacentral:rRNA from 1 species